rnacentral:rRNA from 1 species
AGUGAACGCUGGCGGUAGGCCUAACACAUGCAAGUCGAACGGCAGCACAGUAAGAGCUUGCUCUUACGGGUGGCGAGUGGCGGACGGGUGAGGAAUACAUCGGAAUCUACUUUUUCGUGGGGGAUAACGUAGGGAAACUUACGCUAAUACCGCAUACGACCUACGGGUGAAAGCAGGGGAUCUUCGGACCUUGCGCGAUUGAAUGAGCCGAUGUCGGAUUGGCUAGUUGGGGGGGUAAAGGCCCACCAAGGCGACGAUCCGUAGCCGGUCUGAGAGGAUGAUCAGCCACACUAGAACUGGGACACGGUCCAGACUACUACGGGAGGCAGCAGUGGGGAAUAUUGGACAAUGGGCGCAAGCCUGAUCCAGCCAUACCGAGUGGGUGAAGAAGGCCUUCGGGUUGUAAAGCCCUUUUGUUGGGAAAGAAAAGCAGCAGGUUAAUACCCCGCUGUUCUGACGGUACCCAAAGAAUAAGCACCGGCUAACUUCGUG